UACGUAGGGUGCGAGCGUUGUCCGGAAUUAUUGGGCGUAAAGGGCUCGUAGGCGGUUUGUCGCGUCGGGAGUGAAAACCCAGGGCUUAACCCUGGGCUGGCUUCCGAUACGGGCAGACUAGAGGUAUGCAGGGGAGAACGGAAUUCCUGGUGUAGCGGUGAAAUGCGCAGAUAUCAGGAGGAACACCGGUGGCGAAGGCGGCUUCCUGGACCGACACUGACGCUGAGGCGCGAAAGCUAGGGGAGCAAACGGG
rnacentral:rRNA from 1 species